rnacentral:tRNA from 1 species
GGAAUAUAGCUCAGUCAGUAGAGUGUUUGCCUUGCAUGCACAAGGUCCUAGGUUUAAUCCCUAGCACCA